ensembl:lncRNA
CCUAAGUCCUACGUAAGUCUUUGCGGAGCGCCAUGCUGCCAUGCUUUCUGUGGGGGUGAUUUGGGAACCUACCAGAGUAAGCCAGAACACGGAGGGCGCAGGGCAGCCGGCAGCCGUGGAUAAUCCAGGUCGCAAGUUAACUCCAACAGCCUCUCCUAGAAUUCUGGAGAGAUCUUGUGUUGAUCGAGGGACCAGACGUCCAUCUUUUGCCCGAUACAGAGCCGUCUGCAGCUACUUCUGGGGACUUCAUGGAGACUGCGCAACCAAAAAUGGGGCAGAGGAAGCCCGGAGGGCUUUGGGCAAUGGCUCAGGGCCUGCCCCUUAGCAUUGGCCUGCAAGUCAGAAGGCCCUGCCAUUUACAGUGUGGCAGUGGGCCAGGCACUUAAGCCUCUCUGAACCUCCGCUUUCUCAUCUGCACAAUGGGCAUAUCAUAGGGUUUAAUAGGAGGCUCAAAUCAGACGGUGAAUUUUUUUUUUAUUAACAGUACAUAACAUCAAUAUGUUACCGGAGGUCAUUAUCUCUUCCCUCUCCCCUGCCCAGCUAUCUAGAGAGGCUGGAAGCAGCCAAGAACUUGGCUGCCUUCCCCCCGCCCCCCACCCCACAUCUACUCAGUAGUUCAUCCCCCCACAUCCCAUCCCUUGUCCUACGCCCCAAUGAUUCACUGAUGCUUGCCUGCUGCCCCCUGGUGGCCAAAACUUUACCAAGAGCCCCUCCGGGGCCUUAACUGCCUGGGAAUGCACCCUGGGGCUGGAAUGGGACGGGAAAGCAGGAGAAUCCCUGGGUUCUGAGUGCUAAUGCCCCUUUCUCAUUGUGGGACCAGGGGCCAGUCCUGUCUCCUCGCCAGGAUCCCAUGAGGAGACACCACACAGGAGAAGGUGGAAACUUGAGAAGGGAAGCAGAAGAUUCACAGAAGGCUGGGAGUGGACGGUCCCUCCCUCCCCAUAUAGCACGUGUGUUAUACAUAUGUAGAGAUGUGUAUAUAUUUAGACGUAUGUGCUUGUAUACACACAUACAACAUAUUGUACAUAUAUAUGCACAUAUACAUAUAUAACUAUACCCCCAAAUAUAGAGCACAAUGGGACGCUUGGUAUUCCUUCCCAAUAGUUAGUACCUGCUUCAGGGAGGACACUAUAUUUUUUUCAAAUUAAAUUUAAAAUUGUCAAUUAACAUUUAUUUUCUCUCCUUUCCCCUAAACAAAAAAGAAAAAAAAAACAACCAUUCUGUGACCCUGGCCCUGGAGGGGCCGCAGGAAGUUUUUGUCUUCCUAAUGAGCCUCCGGGCUCUCUUCUUUGAAGCUCCUGGGAGACAGGGAGUUAAUGCCCCAAGCCCCACUGGGCCAAGGGUGGCCGGAGCAGCCUGGGGCUCUGGUCAUAGGAUUUUCCCCAGCCCUUCAGGGGGCCUCCCCCAGGAGCCUGAGGCAGGCACACCCUCCUCCUACGACUCACCCAGGAAUGUGGUAGAACCUGCUCUGGGCCCUAGGGACUAGCUCACGUGUCCUUUGCCCUGAGGAGAACCCUGACAGCCUUCCUAGGGAGGGAGAGAGAGGAGAGGGAGAGUCCCUGACUCAGAUGGCCAGAGCUAGAAGGGGCCUCAGAAACUCGGUCCAGUGCCUUUAUUUAACACAGAGGAGAAAUCUGAAGCCCCCAGAAGGGAAAUGACUUGCCCACGGUAACAUGGGUCAUAGGUGGCAGAGCAGUGAUUUGAACCCAGGCUGUCAGACUCCAACUCUAAACCAAGUCCAGUAUUCUUUUCACUAUGAACAGACUGCCGCCAGAAAGGCUGGAUGGGGGCUUUGGGCCACAGCACCACGUCCCUCAUUUAUUCGGUCCAACUGGGAGGGAGGAAUUGAGAGGAGUGAGUGAGGAGGGGGUGGGAGGAAAGAGGAGAGCAGAAGAAGGCAGUUUCAAGGAAGGGAGGAGUUCUGCAAUAAUAGAAAUAAUUAUAAUAGUUAACACUGAACACCUAAAAGUUUACAAAUAAAAAAAAGAGAAUGAAGGAAAAACA